AUGCCGAUUAUAGAUCCUCCUCAACUGGAGUUAACUGGAUGUAACCCCACUGUAAGAAGGUCAGGAGGCAAGAAGCAGAUGGAACUUUCUGUGACUGUUUCCUUUUAUAACUUCCUGGGACCACAUUCUCCCAUUUGUUCACACAAGUGUCAGCUGGGUAUAGCGAUUAAGGAAGCCAAGAUAGAUUUGAGGAUGACCAGAAUGGAGUGGAUGCUGGCCUCUCCCAGAUGAAGAAGCUGCACCCCUGGAGGCUGUCCCCUGACUCCUCAGCCAAUCUCAGCACCACCAUGGAGUGGACAGUGUGAUGGCUUGGCAUCCAAGUCCUUGGACUUCAGGUAAAUUGUUGGUCCUAAGGCCAUGUCCUUAUCUGAAAGUCAGGAGUCAUCAUUUCUGCUUCAUGUUGCUCUUUGUGAACAUAAAGACCUUGCCCGAAAAGAACCCAGCAACCUUUCCCAACCCCAGCUGUCUGAAGAGAGGAGGGUACAGCUUACAUUUCCUUCAAAAACACACACUCCAAUAACAAAGCGCAGAGAAGAUUAGUUCUUUCUUCCCUUUUAGAUUAAUGCAAUAUGCCACUGAAUUACAUUUAAUAUUUGCCCUUUUUGAAUUCCUUUGCUAUUGAUUCCAGAAACUGGUACUUGAAAAAGGCCAUUGAAGGAAAGGGGGGUGUGGCAGGAAGCACAAAAUUUAAUCAAAUUUCCUUCAGAGCUUUCUGCAUUGGAGAGGGUUUGCUCAUUUCUGCUGCCAUCACAGUUCUUUCUUUUUUUCCCUCCAUGGUAAAUGAGAUCUUUUCUUCUCUCUUCUAAAUGUUUACACUUUUGUCAGAAGUCAUUGCCCUCAUGAUUGGUCGGUGUAUCUGGAAUUAGAGUCAUAGUGUCAGAGGAAACUUUAGAGGCCACUGCACAUGGAAAGAAUGUUUCCUGUAGCUGUUCUGAGGGCCGAGCCUUGGCCUCUUAUUGCUUCUGGGGUUGGGGACCUCACUACUUGUAGAAAAAGCAGGAUUUUGAAUUUGUUUUACAGACCUGGAGAGCCAGGAGUUCAACUCCAUUACAAUUGGCUGGACAACCUUGGGCAAAAUUUGUCACUUUUCUGUGCCUCAGUUUUUUCGUUGCAAAAUGUGUCAUUCUCUUAAUUGUAUGUUCCUCAUAAGAUUGUUAUGAGGGUUAAAUGAAAAUUUGGGCAAGUGCCAAGUACAGUACUUUAUGCAUAAUAUGGGUCAAUACAACUUCGUUAUUGUGAUUAUCGUAAAUGAGUUAUUUGUCCACAGAGCAAGUGGGAGAGCUGUACUGAAACCCGUGCCUCCAGAUUUCUGGCUUAUGGACACGACUUAGCCCCACCCUAAUAAGGACAGUUGUUUUCCCAGGAAGAAUGAACAUCGAAAUAGCUGGUUGUGGUUCCAUAAUGAAAUGCUAGUAAUUAAAAGCUACAGCACUCAGCUACAGCCCCCCACGAUUACUGGGUUACUUUUAAGUAUUCUUUUGCAGAGAUGGAUGGGAUUGUCAUGUUUCCACUUCACGUAUGGAAACUGAUUACAGGAGUGCUCAAGAGCCUGGACUGCCUCCAACUGUGGGGUGCAGGCUUUGAUGAGGGUACUAAUUAGGAGCUCAAUGUCUUGGGGAGCUUAAAAAUAACACACCCAGCCCAUUGACAAGGCCUCAGGGUAGUCUUAAUUCUUAACUGCUGCUGCAGGAAGUAAUGUCUGGCUUAUGUUACACACACAGACACACACACACACAAACACACAAACAAACACACACCCUGCUCACCAAUAUUCUUCUCUCUUUCUUGCCCAGUUUAAAAAGAAAAACCAUAGGUAUUUUGCUUGUGGAAGUGCUAGGGAAAUUUGUUCAUUAUAAUGGCUGAGGCAAAAUUUCUUUUGCCUGAAGGUACCCCCAGCUCCCAGAACAUGGAAGACACCUGAUUAAGUGUCCUUUGAUUUGAGAAACCAAAGUGCUAAGUUAGGUGCUAGGUUUCCCUCAGAUCAGAUGGGACUAGGAGCUUUCUCUGGGGGGAACUUACUUUUCUUCUUCUUUUUUUUUUUUUUGAGAUGGAGUUUCGCUCUUGUUACCCAGGCUGGAGUGCAAUGGCACAAGCUCAGCUCACCGCAACCUCUGCCUCCUGGGUUCAGGCAAUUCUCCUGUCUCAGCCUCCUGAGUAGCCGGGAUUACAAGCACGU
ensembl:lncRNA